GCAGCCGCGGUAAUACGUAGGGGGCAAGCGUUAUCCGGAUUUACUGGGUGUAAAGGGAGCGUAGACGGAUUUGCAAGUCAGAUGUGAAAGGCGGGGGCUUAACCCCCGGAUUGCAUUUGAAACUGCAGAUCUUGAGUACCGGAAGGGCAGAUGGAAUUCCUGGUGUAGCGGUGAAAUGCGUAGAGAUCAGGAGGAACACCGGUGGCGAAAGCGGUCUGCUGGACGGUAACUGACGUUGAGGCUCGAAGGCGUGGGGAGCAAACAGGAUUAGAUACCCC
rnacentral:rRNA from 1 species